rnacentral:rRNA from 1 species
CCAAUAGCGUAUAUUAAAGUUGUUGCAGUUAAAAAGCUCGUAGUUGAAUUUCGGGGUCUGUCCAUUGGUCGGGCUUCACGGUCCGUACUGGUGUGAUGGGUUCCUACCUUCUGAAUAACCAGCAUGCCAUUCAGUUGGUGCGUUGGGGAAGCAGAGCUAUUACCUUGAAAAAAUUAGAGUGCUUAAAGCAGGCUAGUGCUUGAAUAGAUUAGCAUGGAAUAAUAAAAUAGGACGGCAUGGUUCUAUUUUGUUGGUUUCUAGGAUCACCGUAAUGAUUAAUAGGGAUAGUUGGGGGCAUUAGUAUUCAAUUGUCAGAGGUGAAAUUCUUGGAUUUAUUGAAGACUAACUUCUGCGAAAGCAUUUGCCAAGGAUGUUUUCAUUAAUCAAGAACGAAAGUUAGGGGAUCGAAGACGAUCAGAUACCGUCGUAGUCUUAACCAUAAACUAUGCCGACUAGGGAUCGGACGAUGUUAAUUUUUUAAUGACUCGUUCGGCGCCUUACG